rnacentral:lncRNA from 10 species
UAAUGGAAACCGGACACAGCAGUAGAGUGGACACAUCAGGUUAUAAAUGACCCUGUCUCCUUUGUUCAUGUGUGCUCUCAUGGCAAGACUGCUAGCAAGCGGCACCCUUUCUGCAGAAAGUAAACUAGUCUUGCUGAGAGAUCCUUUGUCUCAGUGCUGAUUUUGCGACAUUGAGCACCCGUUCCCAAUAGUGACUAUAUAUCUAAAAUCAUUUAUUUUUCUUGUUAGAUUCUGCUAAAUCCAUUUUUGUAGGAUUGAAGAAUGAAAAAAUGACAAGUUGAUUCUGAAAUCACCAUCCAGAAAUGAGUCACUUAACAUCACUGCAGGGGUCUUGCCCUGCUCUGGGUUCCAGAACCUGCAAGAGACCAAUUCAAGAACUGAGUCCAGUAACUGAGGAAG